AUGCUUACUCGUCAUGUAAUUGACAUCUCGGGUCAAAUGAAGACAUUCAUUUGGAUGAAGGGCACACCAGAUUGGGUAAUGAUCAAUGCCCAACCAAGAGAUCAGUGUGACGUUGAUGCAAUUUGUGGGCCUUUCACAAUCUGCAAUGAUAAUAAUUUUCCACAAUGCAAUUGUAUGGAGGGCUUCACAAUAACAUCCCCCAAGGACUGGGACCUAGAAGAUCGAGCAGGUGGGUGCUCGAGGAAGACUAAGUUAGACUGCAUUAGCAAUAGAGGCACAACGCAUACCACAGACAAGUUCUAUUCUAUGCCAUGUGUUAAGUUGCCCAAGGAUGCCCCAGAAGUAGAUGCUGCUGCAAGUGCAAGUGAGUGCGCACAAGUUUGCCUGAAUAAUUGCUCUUGCACAGCCUACUCCUUUGGCGACAAUGGAUGUUCUAUGUGGCAUAAUAAAUUGCUCAACAUAAGAGCACUACCAUGUAGUGGCACUGCCAAUUCUAACGGAGAAACUCUUUACCUCCGUCUUUCUGCUAAAGAUGUACAAAGUUUGAAAAACAACAGAAGAGGAAUUGUUAUUGGAAUUGUCACUGGUACAGGCGUUUUUGUUUUAGGCCUAUUUGCACUUAUCCUCUUAAUAAUGAUCCAGAGAAACAAAAAGAAGAACUCUGGUCAGAUACUGAGUGAUUCUCAAGUUUGUACUGGAAUCAUUGCAUUCGGAUACAAUGAUCUACAACGGGCAACAAACAAAUUCACAGAUAAGUUGGGGGUAGGCGGUUUUGGUUCUGUAUUCAAGGGGUUUAUAAAGGGCUCCAAUGCCGUAGCAGUGAAGAUGCUCGAUGGUGCUUAUCAAGGAGAGAAGCAAUUCAGAGCCGAAGUGAGCACAAUCGGAGCUGUUCAACACAUCAAUUUGGUUAAGCUUGUUGGUUUCUGUUGUGAUGGUUCCAAGAGGUUGCUUGUUUAUGAAUACAUGUCAAAUCACUCUCUUGAUGUCCAUCUAUUUCGAAGCAAUUCUACCAUGUUGAAUUGGACUGCUAGAUAUCAGAUAGGCCUAGGAGUUGCAAGAGGGUUGGCCUACUUGCAUGACAGCUGCCGAGACUGCAUCAUACACUGUGAUAUCAAGCCAGAAAACAUACUUCUUGAUUCUUCACUCCUUCCAAAAAUUGCAGACUUUGGAAUGGCAAAACUUAUAGGAAGGGAUUAUAGCCGAGUAUUGACAACAAUGAGAGGAACUACAGGGUACCUUGCGCCUGAAUGGAUAAGCGGUGUUCCUAUUACACCAAAAGUCGAUGUUUAUAGCUACGGGAUGGUGUUGCUGGAAAUAAUAUCUGGAAGGAGGAACUCAUGUGCAUCAUGUCCUAGUGGUGGCAAUGUUGAUGUUUAUUUCCCUGUGUAUGCCUCACAUAAGCUUCUCAAAGGAGACAUCAAGGGUUUGGUAGAUCACAAGCUAGAUGGCGACAUCAAAUUGGAUGAGGUUGAACUGGCUUGCAAGGUUGCAUGUUGGUGCAUCCAGGAUGAUGAGCUUGAUCGGCCAACAAUGGGACAGGUAGUUCAAUUUCUCGAAGGCCUGGUUGAGAUCACAAUGCCCCCGGUACCAAGAUUGCUCCAAGCUAUGGCCGGAAGCGCACAUCAAAAAUGCUCCUAA
rnacentral:rRNA from 1 species